rnacentral:ncRNA from 1 species
AUAUAUAUAUAUAUAUAUAUAUCUGAAAUGAUUCUGACGUGCAAAUCGAUCGUCUGAAUUUAAUAUCACGGCGAAAAACUAACCGAACUAUUUGAAAUUUCCCUCAUAAUAGCUGGAAUACGUAAUGAAGCUGUUAUAUUCGGUAAAGCGAAUAAUUAGAGAAAUUGUGGGACGAAACGUUUUCAAUCUUUUUUCAAAUUUUCAAUGAGUAUGACAUCUUGCUUGCUUGAAUGAAGCGUGAGCUCUGAUUGUUUACUCAGGUAGGCCAUUUUGGUGGACUGAUGCUGUAAGAUGAACCGAACGUUGAGUUAGAGUAUAAGUUGAGCAAAGAGUACAUAGGAGAGAAUUUUAAUAACUAAAAUUCGAAAUUGGAAUAAAAUAUUCUGAAUUUAGU